AUUAAAAUGUGCUUUCUUUAUAUGUCAUUUUCCAGGAAGUUUGACAGGCAUGCCUAGACUCAUGUCUUUUUAUGUCUUACUGCAUGAGCACUUACCAGCAACAGCUCUCAGUAAAAUAUAUUAGAGGGACAGCUCGAUCCAUCCGAGGCUCCCAUCCAUCUGCUGAGGCACAGACAGCAGCUGACAUUGGGGCAGGUUUGUGGCUGAACAGGAGCUCUCCUGCCACAGCAAGAGCAGCAACAUAA
rnacentral:lncRNA from 1 species